rnacentral:rRNA from 1 species
GAUGAACGCUGGCGGCGUGCCUAAUACAUGCAAGUCGAGCGAACAGACGAGGAGCUUGCUCCUCUGACGUUAGCGGCGGACGGGUGAGUAACACGUGGAUAACCUACCUAUAAGACUGGGAUAACUUCGGGAAACCGGAGCUAAUACCGGAUAAUAUAUUGAACCGCAUGGUUCAAUAGUGAAAGACGGUUUUGCUGUCACUUAUAGAUGGAUCCGCGCCGCAUUAGCUAGUUGGUAAGGUAACGGCUUACCAAGGCAACGAUGCGUAGCCGACCUGAGAGGGUGAUCGGCCACACUGGAACUGAGACACGGUCCAGACUCCUACGGGAGGCAGCAGUAGGGAAUCUUCCGCAAUGGGCGAAAGCCUGACGGAGCAACGCCGCGUGAGUGAUGAAGGUCUUCGGAUCGUAAAACUCUGUUAUUAGGGAAGAACAAAUGUGUAUGUAACUAUGCACGUCUGACGGUACCUAAUCAGAAAGCCACGGCUAACUACGUG